CCUACGGGAGGCUGCAGUAGGGAAUAUUGCGCAAUGGGCGAAACCCUGACGCAGCAACGCCGCGUGGAGGAUGAAGGUUUUCGGAUUGUAAACUCCUUUUGUUAGAGAAGAUAAUGACGGUAUCUAACGAAUAAGCACCGGCUAACUCCGUGCCAGCAGCCGCGGUAAUACGGAGGGUGCAAGCGUUACUCGGAAUCACUGGGCGUAAAGAGCGCGUAGGCGGGAUAGCAAGCCAGAUGUGAAAGCCAAGGGCUUAACCAUAGUACUGCAUUUGAAACUGUUAUUCUAGAGUGUGGGAGAGGUAGAUGGAAUUCUUGGUGUAGGGGUAAAAUGCGUAGAGAUCAGGAGGAAUACUCGUGGCGAAGGCGACCUGCUAGAACAUAACUGACGCUGAGGCGCGAAAGCGUGGGGAGCAAACAGGAUUAGAUACCCGAGUAGUC
rnacentral:rRNA from 1 species